GAGCAGUCUCCGGAAGCUGCCUCUGGCUGCUCUGUUAACGUGUCCCGCGAGCGAGGCGCGUCGCAAAAGGUCGCGGCGGAACUUCCCUGCGCUUUUCAGACCAUACUCUUUACGGUACUAGGCACUGCUGAGCUGGGAGAUGUCGGCGGCGUGUUGGGAGGAACCGUGGGGUCUUCCCGGCGGCUUUGCGAAGCGGGUCCUGGUGACCGGCGGUGCUGGUUUCAUUGCAUCACAUAUGAUUGUCUCUUUAGUGGAAGAUUAUCCAAACUAUAUGAUCAUAAAUCUAGACAAGCUGGAUUACUGUGCAAGCUUGAAGAAUCUUGAAACCAUUUCUAACAAACAGAACUACAAAUUUAUACAGAUCUUUCAUUCGUACGUGCCUUUGAGUUUACCUAUGUUAAUGUUUAUGGCACUCACGUUUUGGUAAGUGCUGCUCAUGAAGCCAGAGUGGAGAAGUUUAUUUAUGUCAGCACAGAUGAAGUAUAUGGUGGCAGUCUUGAUAAGGAAUUUGAUGAAUCUUCACCCAAACAACCUACAAAUCCUUAUGCAUCAUCUAAAGCAGCUGCUGAAUGUUUUGUACAGUCUUACUGGGAACAAUAUAAGUUUCCAGUUGUCAUCACAAGAAGCAGUAAUGUUUAUGGACCACAUCAAUAUCCAGAAAAGGUUAUUCCAAAAUUUAUAUCUUUGCUACAGCACAACAGGAAAUGUUGCAUUCAUGGGUCAGGGCUUCAAACAAGAAACUUCCUUUAUGCUACUGAUGUUGUAGAAGCAUUUCUCACUGUCCUCAAAAAAGGGAAACCAGGUGAAAUUUAUAACAUCGGAACCAAUUUUGAAAUGUCAGUUGUCCAGCUUGCCAAAGAACUAAUACAACUGAUCAAAGAGACCAAUUCAGAGUCUGAAAUGGAAAAUUGGGUUGAUUAUGUUAAUGAUAGACCCACCAAUGACAUGAGAUACCCAAUGAAGUCAGAAAAAAUACAUGGCUUAGGAUGGAGACCUAAAGUGCCUUGGAAAGAAGGAAUAAAGAAAACAAUUGAAUGGUACAGAGAGAAUUUUCACAACUGGAAGAAUGUGGAAAAGGCAUUAGAACCCUUUCCGGUAUAAUCACCAUUUAUAUAGUCGAGACAGUUGUCAAAGAAGAAAGUUAUCCUACCUCGCCAAGUGGUAUGAAAUUAAGUGACCAAAUGAAGUGCACUCUUUUCUUUUGGAAUUAGAUUCAUGACUUUCUGUAUAAAAUUCAAAUGCAGAAUGCCUCAAUCUUUGGGAGAGUUUCAGUACUGGCAUAGAAUUUAAAUGUCAAAAUUCUUUCUGAAACCCUUUCUCCUAGAAACUAGGAAAUAAUAGGUGUAGAAGACUCUCCCUAAGGGUAGCCAGGAAGAAGUCUCCUGAUUCGGACAACCAUGAGGGGUAGUGGUGCUAGGGAGAAGGCAACCUUCACUGGUUUUGAACUCAGUGCCUAAGAAAGUCUCUGAAAUGUUCGUUUUUAGGCAAUAUAGGAUGUCUUAGGCCCUAAUUCACCAUUUCUUUUUUAAGAUCUGAUAUGCUAUCAUUGCCUUAAUAAUGGAACAAAAUAGAAGCAUAUCUAACACUUUUUAAAUUGAUAAUUUUGUAAAAUUGAUUACGUUGAAUGCUUUUUAAGAGAAGUGUGUAAAGUUUUUAUAUUUUCACAAUUAACGUAUGUAAAACCUUGUAUCAGAAAUUUAUCAUGUUUACUGUUUAAAAUGAUUGUAUUUAUAAAAUUGUCAAUAUCUUAAUGUAUUUAAUGUAGAAUAUUGCUUUUUAAAAUAAUGUUUUUAUUUUGCUGUAGAAAAAUAAAAAAAAAUUUGAUUAUA
rnacentral:lncRNA from 1 species